ACGUAGGGGGCAAGCGUUAUCCGGAUUUACUGGGUGUAAAGGGAGCGUAGACGGCAAGGCAAGUCUGAUGUGAAAACCCAGGGCUUAACCCUGGGACUGCAUUGGAAACUGUCUGGCUUGAGUGCCGGAGAGGUAAGCGGAAUUCCUAGUGUAGCGGUGAAAUGCGUAGAUAUUAGGAAGAACACCAGUGGCGAAGGCGGCUUACUGGACGGUAACUGACGUUGAGGCUCGAAAGCGUGGGGAGCAAACAG
rnacentral:rRNA from 1 species